rnacentral:rRNA from 1 species
GUGGGGAAUAUUGGACAAUGGGCGAAAGCCUGAUCCAGCAAUGCCGCGUGAGUGAUGAAGGCCUUAGGGUUGUAAAGCUCUUUUACUAGGGAUGAUAAGGACAGUACCUGGAGAAUAAGCUCCGGCUAACUCCGUGCCAGCAGCCGCGGUAAUACGGAGGGAGCUAGCGUUGUUCGGAAUUACUGGGUGUAAAGCGCACGUAGGCGGUUACUCAAGUCAGAGGUGAAAGCCCGGGGCUCAACCGCGGAACUGCCUUUGAAACUAGGUAACUAGAAUCUUGGAGAGGUAAGCGGAAUUCCGAGUGUAGAGGUGAAAUUCGUAGAUAUUCGGAAGAACACCAGUGGCGAAGGCGACUGACUGGACAAGUAUUGACGCUGAGGUGCGAAAGCGUGGGGAGCAAACAGGAUUAGAAACCCGGGUAGUCC